GAUGAAGAACGCAGCGCAAUGCGAUAAGUAAUGUGAAUUGCAGAAUUCAGUGAAUCAUCGAAUCUUUGAACGCACCUUGCGCCUUUUGGUAUUCCGAAAGGCACACCUGUUUGAGCGUCAUGAAUACCUCAAUCUCCAUCUUUUCUUCGGAUUGAUGGGUGACUUGGAUGUUGAGCCCUGCUGGUAUGCUAUAUCAGCUGGCUUUAAACUUAUUAGCCGGCUCUGUACUGGAUCGGUUUGACUCGACGUGAUAAUAUUAUCGUUGAGGAUGCAUGUCUCAUGCAGCCGGAAAGUAUCAAAGCAGCUUCUAGCUUGCCUUUAGUGCACUUUUACAUUUUAGACCUCAGAUCAGGUGGGACUACCCGCUGAACUUAAGCAUAUCAAUAAGCGGAGGA
rnacentral:misc_RNA from 1 species